GCUCAGGACGAACGCUGGCGGCGUGCCUAAUACAUGCAAGUCGAACGAAGCUUUCUUUCACCGAAUGCUUGCAUUCACCGAAAGAAGCUUAGUGGCGAACGGGUGAGUAACACGUAGGCAACCUGCCCAAAAGAGGGGGAUAACACUUGGAAACAGGUGCUAAUACCGCAUAACCAUGAACACCGCAUGAUGUUCAUGUAAAAGACGGCUUUUGCUGUCACUUUUGGAUGGGCCUGCGGCGUAUUAACUUGUUGGUGGGGUAACGGCCUACCAAGGUGAUGAUACGUAGCCGAACUGAGAGGUUGAUCGGCCACAUUGGGACUGAGACACGGCCCAAACUCCUACGGGAGGCAGCAGUAGGGAAUCUUCCACAAUGGACGAAAGUCUGAUGGAGCAACGCCGCGUGAAUGAAGAAGGCCUUCGGGUCGUAAAAUUCUGUUGUCAGAGAAGAACGUGCGUGAGAGUAACUGUUCACGUAUUGACGGUAUCUGACCAGAAAGCCACGGCUAACUACGUGCCAGCAGCCGCGGUAAUACGUAGGUGGCGAGCGUUGUCCGGAUUUAUUGGGCGUAAAGGGAACGCAGGCGGUCUUUUAAGUCUGAUGUGAAAGCCUUCGGCUUAACCGAAGUAGUGCAUUGGAAACUGGAAGACUUGAGUGCAGAAGAGGAGAGUGGAACUCCAUGUGUAGCGGUGAAAUGCGUAGAUAUAUGGAAGAACACCAGUGGCGAAAGCGGCUCUCUGGUCUGUAACUGACGCUGAGGUUCGAAAGCGUGGGUAGCAAACAGGAUUAGAUACCCUGGUAGUCCACGCCGUAAACGAUGAGUGCUAAGUGUUGGAGGGUUUCCGCCCUUCAGUGCUGCAGCUAACGCAUUAAGCACUCCGCCUGGGGAGUAC
rnacentral:rRNA from 1 species